UUGGGCUUUGAUGUGGGCUCAGGCUCAGAGGGCUGAAGUGGUUGUG
ensembl:miRNA